rnacentral:lncRNA from 1 species
CUUAAGCUUUCCUUCUAGUAAAGCUGGAUCAAUAUCAAAGAACACUGACUAUUAUGGGCCCUUUUGCUUCAUCAAACCUCUAUUUUACCUUAUUGUCUGUGUUUUUGCACUUAACAUAGUUUUUAUUUGCACUUCAUGCUUUGAGAUAUGUUGCACGCACUUUAUUAAUUGAUGCAUCGUCUUUUAAUUUCCAUUUGAUCUUCAAAGAUAAAGAUAGCUGACACGGCAAACUCUUUGAUGUUUAACCUCUUUAUUAUUUUCACUAAAAUGGUUCCUUGUGUGCUGGAGAGUUUUUAAAAAGGAUGCAGGACUAAUUAUAUAUAGUGGAACAACAGACAAAUAUAAGAGGACAUAGAUUCUAGUGGAUGAGUGAUGCAAAAAUUUCUAAAUUUAAUUUACGUAUAUCUGUGCAAGUUUCAACUGUCAAGCAUUGUCUACCUAGUUCUUGAAUAUAUAGGUAAAAGAGUCCAUGUAAGUUAGAUGUUGGGUAACUAUAAAAUUACUUCUUUUUGAACCACAUAAUCUAAAAGUUUAAGGAGCCCUCGUGCAGUCUAAAAUCAUCUUUUAUCAAGAGCUUGAAAUUGUACUAUUUUCAUAAAUGGGUGUCGGCGAUGACAUGGCUUGAAUUUAGAAUCUCUGUCUAAUUUAAGACUAUUUUGAUCCUCCUCAUCUAAAUUUAAGCUAUUAAAGAAGGCAUUUUUGCUGCAAUUUCUAGCGUGCCUUUCUACACUUGCAUUGGUUUUCAUAUUACUUUCACAUUAGUCACCUCGACUAAUCAUUUUCUCUGAGAGCUUUUCAAUUUGAUGUCAGAUAAAAUGCACCCAAAGAAGUGCACUGUGUUUCCUUUCCACCCAUGGGCUUCCAAGGAAGGUACAAAAUGUGGUCUUGUAAUGUGGAUUCCUCACAGCAUUGAGGAGCUAAUCAAAACAGCAUCAAAGCAACUGAAAUUACCACAUGGUUCAUGUAUAUUAUCAGAAGAUGGAGGAAAAAUUCUUGAGGUCGAUAUGAUAAGUGAUGGCCAAAAGUUAUAUUUGGUUAAUGAAACAAAUUAAAUGUCACUCCCUUGUAUAUCAUUUAAAACACACGUUGCUUUCUUGAGUUUGGGAAUAUCGCAUUUCGUGUUUCUUGGGGGGAGAAUCACUCGUUGUGGGACUUCGUUUAUGAGGUUCACUCUUCCCAAGACUCUAAUCCUUUGGUGGGAAAGUUUAGGUGAGAAGUCCUUUCACUGGAACGUGAUUGUUAAUGAAUGUCUGUAAAGGCUGAAUUUGUAACAUCGAAAGAAGGGUGCUCUAUGCUCUCGUAUCGUUUUGAUUAGUGUGAUUUCCCUAUAUUGUAUUAAUAUGUACAUGUAUCUAUAAUAUAUUAAAUAUCAAAUCAAGUGAAAAUCAUUUUUUGGGCGAUUAUAAUUUUACUCAA